AAUAAGGGUGUCUGCCAUGAGUGGCACAGGAAGGGCAGCUCGCUUGCUCUACACAAUGAAUAGAAAUUUCAGAGUCAUAAUUUUCUGGCAGUUGGGCAGCUGGUGAUCAUUGGUCCUGGCACGCCA
rnacentral:snRNA from 1 species